ensembl:lncRNA ARHGEF4-AS1 ARHGEF4 antisense RNA 1
GGCACACAGCAGAGCCGUCCACAGACCCGGCCCAGGGGCCGCCGGGAUCAUCCCGCCCAGUCGAGCUCUUGGGCCCCCUUGAAGCCUAGGAGUGUUUUCUCAGAGAGAAAGCAGCACGCUUCUUGCGCAUUUGCACAUCUCCAACGCAGCGCUUCGGCCUGUCCUCCGCACUGGAGACUCAGGUGCCUCCGCCCUCCUGAGAGCAGGGGCGGCCUCUCUGCUGAGAGUUCUGAUUGUCAAGCUCCCAGAACUUUCAGAGUUCAGUCCGCCCAGCGUUCUUGUUUACCAGUUGAGGAAACGGAGGCCCAGGGAGGCUGUGCAGCGCGCCGGCACUCACACACCUGGUGGGGACAAAUGUGGACUAGGAUAUCUGGGACCGAAGUCUUGGCCUCCAGCUCCCUCUUGCCUCCCACUUACCUUUCCAGGAAGAGGCCCACGAAAGCUAAGACCCCAAGGCCCAUGUGCACCAUACUGCAGCCCUGCUCUGUCCACCAUUUCUGAGAUCGGCGCCCCACAGAGGGAGAGCAUCUGCCCAGACUGGCUUUUUGCACCCCUGCUCAAGCCUGCACCCUCGUCCAAGUCCUAGCCCCACUGAACGCUAUGCCUGGUCAGCAGUGCGUGUCAGGGGUGCCUGGCAGAGUGUGCAUUUUCCGUACACCCAACCUGUCUCUGCCUCUCCCCAGGCCCUCACAGCAACCAGGCCAGGCGAGAAGCUUGGGAGAUAGAUACUCAGAGGAGGCACUGUGGGGCCAUCUGAAGAUCCUGCGUCCCCUGUCACAGCCUUUAUGUCACUCAGGGUCCAUGACUGUGCUAGAAGCAUGUCCCUGAGGCCCAUGGUGGUGGGAGGAGGGUGUGGGAUUCGGAUCUGGGCACCUGGCUGUGCUGCACACCAGUUGUGUAAUCAUGAUCAUCUGCUCUAAACACGUAUCUUUAACAUUCGAGAGGAAUGACCGCCUGGUGGGGUUGCCAUGGAGAGUACGUGAGAAAUUAAACCUCACAGGUGCUUAGCAAAAGUUAAUUCGCUCUUCUCUGAAGGCUUAAAGUGCUAAUCCCCUGGCGAGGGGGGAGGUCCAGUGAAAAUACACAACCCCUGGCCACAGGUUCCAUUGUUGUCUGGACUCCUCUGACCAGUGGACAGCCCUGGACCUGGGUUCUCAGACCUGAGUCAGAACCACGUGGAGGACACCAUAGAGCUUAGGCUGCUGCCCCUCACCGCUGCCCCCCUCUCACAGGAUCUGGGGUGGGGCCUGGGAAUUUGCAUUUUAACAUGUUUCCAAGUGACCCUGAAGCUGCUGGCCCUGGGACCACACUUAGAGAACCCCUGGUUCAGGCUAUGGGGCCUGGGCCAGGCUCGCCGUCUAGCAGAGGAUCAGACCCCAGGUUGGAGCAUAACCGUCAUGAUGGCUCCAUUCAUCAGGCACCUGCUGUGUCCCCGCACGCCCAGAUCCCUGCCACAGCGCAGCCUCCCUAGAGAAGUGACAUCCAAUGCUCGAGGGGAAAUAAAUCAAAGGUAGUUUA